CAGAAGAGAGGAAUAUCAAAUCAGAAGGAGAAAGAGAGGCUGAUUUGAUAUUCAUCUCUUUCUCCUUCUGAUUUGAUAUUCAUCUCUUUCUCCUU
rnacentral:pre_miRNA from 1 species